AGAGUUUGAUCCUGGCUCAGAUUGAACGCUGGCGGCAUGCCUUACACAUGCAAGUCGAACGGCAGCACGGGAGCAAUCCUGGUGGCGAGUGGCGAACGGGUGAGUAAUAUAUCGGAACGUGCCCAGUAAUGGGGGAUAGCCCGGCGAAAGCCGGAUUAAUACCGCAUACGACCUACGGGUGAAAGCGGGGGAUCGCAAGACCUCGCGUUAUUGGAGCGGCCGAUAUCAGAUUAGCUUGUUGGUGGGGUAAAAGCCCACCAAGGCGACGAUCUGUAGCUGGUCUGAGAGGAUGAUCAGCCACACUGGGACUGAGACACGGCCCAGACUCCUACGGGAGGCAGCAGUGGGGAAUUUUGGACAAUGGGGGCAACCCUGAUCCAGCCAUGCCGCGUGAGUGAAGAAGGCCUUCGGGUUGUAAAGCUCUUUCGGCCGGGACGAAAUCGCAUGGGCGAAUAUCCUGUGUGGAUGACGGUACCGGAAUAAGAAGCACCGGCUAACUACGUGCCAGCAGCCGCGGUAAU
rnacentral:rRNA from 1 species